CUACGGGGGGCUGCAGUGGGGAAUAUUGCACAAUGGGCGCAAGCCUGAUGCAGCCAUGCCGCGUGUAUGAAGAAGGCCUUCGGGCUGUAAAGUACUUUCAGCGGGGAGGAAGGGAGUAAAGUUAAUACCUUUGCUCAUUGACGUUACCCGCAGAAGGAGCACCGGCUAACUCCGUGCCAGCAGCCGCGGUAAUACGGAGGGUGCAAGCGUUAAUCGGAAUUACUGGGCGUAAAGCGCACGCAGGCGGUUUGUUAAGUCAGAUGUGAAAUCCCCGGGCUCAACCUGGGAACUGCAUCUGAUACUGGCAAGCUUGAGUCUCGUAGAGGGGGGUAGAAUUCCAGGUGUAGCGGUGAAAUGCGUAGAGAUCUGGAGGAAUACCGGUGGCGAAGGCGGCCCCCUGGACGAAGACUGACGCUCAGGUGCGAAAGCGUGGGGAGCAAACAGGAUUAGAUACCCUAGUAGUC
rnacentral:rRNA from 1 species